rnacentral:rRNA from 1 species
AGAGGGUUUGAUCAUGGCUCAGAUUGAACGCUGGCGGGAUGCUUUUACACAUGCAAGUCGAACGCGUUACGAUUUCGGUCUGGUGGCGAGUGGCGAACGGGUGAGUAAUGUAUCGGAACGUGCCUAGUAGCGGGGAUAACUACGCGAAAAGCGUAGCUAAUACCGCAUACGUUCCCUUCGGGGGAAAGCGGGGACCUUCGGGCCUUGCACUAUUAGAGCGGCCGAUAUCGGAUUAGCUAGCUGCAGCGCGCGUAACGGUCACCAAGGCGACGAUCCGUAGCUGGUUUGAGAGGACGACCAGCCACACUGGACUGAGACACGGCCCAGACUUUACGGGAGGCAGCAGUGGGGAAUUUUGGACAAUGGGGAAACCCUGAUCCAGCCAUCCCGCGUGUGCGAUGAAGGCCUUCGGGUUGUAAAGCACUUUUGGCAGGAAAGAAACGGCACGGGAUAAUACCCCGUGCAACUGACGGUACCUGCAGAAUAAGCACCGGCUAACUACGUGCCAGCAGCCGCAGUAAUACGUAGGGUGCAAGCGUUAAUCGGAAUUACUGGGCGUAAAGCGUGCGCAGGCGGUUCGGAAAGAAAGAGGGAAUCCCAGAGCUUAACUGGGAACUGCAUUUUUAACUACCGAGCUAGAGUGUGUCAGAGGGAGGUGGAAUUCGCGUGUAGCAGCGGAAUGCGUAGAUAUGCGGAGGGAACAAUUGAUACGAAGGCAGCCUCUGGGAUAACAACGUUGAUACCCAUGCACGAAAGCGUGGGAGCAAACAGGAUUAGAUACCCUGGUAGUCCACGCCCUAAACGAUGUCAACUAGCUGUUGGGGCCUCUCGGGUCUUAGCGCAGCUUACCCGCGAAGUUGACCGCCUGGGGAGUACGGUCGCAAGAUUAAAACCAAAGGAAUGACGGGAAUCGCAAAUGCUGGGUGGAUGAUGUGGAUUAAUUCGAUGCAACGCGAAAACCUUACCUACCCUUGAUAUGUUCAACCGAAGAGAUUUGGGAGUGCUCGCAAGAGAACCGGAACACAGGUGCUGCAUGGCUGUCGUCAGCUCGUGUCGUGAGAGUGAAUAAGUCCCGCAACGAGCGCAACCCUUGUCAUUAGUUGCUACGAAAGGGCACUCUAAUGAGACUGCCGGUGACAAACCGGAGGAAGGUGGGGAUGACGUCAAGUCCUGUAUGUCUUAUGGGUAGGGCUUCACACGUCAUACAAUGGUCGGGACAGAGGGUCGCCAACCCGCGAGGGGAGCCAAUCCCAGAAACCCGAUCGUAGUCCGGAUCGCAGUCUGUAACCUGACUGGUGUCGGAAUCGCCAGUAACCGCGGAUCUGCAUGUCGCGUGAACAUGUUCCUGGCCUUGUACACACCGCCCGUCACACCAUGGGAGUGGGUUUUACCAGAAGUAGUUAGCCUAACCGUAAGGAGGGCGAUUACCACGGUAGGAUUCAUGACUGGGGAAGCUGCACCAG